UGCUUUUUGUGGUCAUAGUGAGUCACUACUACAAAUGAUUUGCUCAUCUUUAAUGAGUCACAAUGGUUCAUCUCAAUAAGGGAGUACCCUAAGGACAUAAGUCAAACAAGGUGGUAAGACCCUUGUAGAGUUGCCUAAUAACAUAAGGCUUAGUAAUUUCGGACCCAUUCAAGAUCCAAACAACAAGGAGCACUCAAUUACCACUCUAGUCUAGUUUUUCCCCCUUGUAUACAAUAUGAAUUGUUGAUGGAGUUGAGUUUUCUAGUAUAGGAUUGUUGAUGUAUUAAGUAUGGAUUUAGAUGAUUAAUUAGCAUGAUUUUUAUUUUACAUAUAUUUUGAAUUUGAGUGAUUUGGAUAUAAACAGGAGCAUUAUAUGUAUUUUCAAUGUUAACCAGUUAUGUACUGUGUAUUGAAUGAAUUUUCAUUUUAA